UAAGUAAAUCGCCUUAUCGCUCGAAAGCUGAACUUGUUUUAUUCGUAUCAAGUAUUCGUAUAAGGUACUGAAACAAGUUAAGCAUUAGGGAGGAAAGUCCGAACACCAAAGUGCAACAUAGUGGUUAAUGGCCACCAGUCGUGAGGCUAGGAAAAGUGCAACAGAAAGGAUGUACAGGUAAUGCUGUAGUGAAAUCAGGUAAACUCUAUGUGGUGCAAUGUCAUGUAAACCAGUGUUUGAGGGCUGCACGUCCGAUGCUGGAGGGUAGGCAGCUAAAGUGUAUUGGUAACAAUGCGCUCAGAUAAAUGAUAAGGGCUCUUUUUAAGAGUACAGAAUUCGGCUUAUAGAUUUGCUUAGUUA
rnacentral:RNase_P_RNA from 1 species